GUAGUCGUGGCCGAGAGGUUAAGGUGAUGUACUCGAAAUCCAUUUGGAGUCUCCCCAUGCAGGUUCUAACCCUGCCGACUACG